GACGAACGCUGGCGGCGUGCUUAACACAUGCAAGUCGAACGGAAAGGCCCUGCUUUUGUGGGGUGCUCGAGUGGCGAACGGGUGAGUAACACGUGAGUAACCUGCCCUUGACUUUGGGAUAACUUCAGGAAACUGGGGCUAAUACCGGAUAGGAGCUCCUGCUGCAUGGUGGGGGUUGGAAAGUUUCGGCGGUUGGGGAUGGACUCGCGGCUUAUCAGCUUGUUGGUGGGGUAGUGGCUUACCAAGGCUUUGACGGGUAGCCGGCCUGAGAGGGUGACCGGCCACAUUGGGACUGAGAUAGGGACCAGACUCCUACGGGAGGCAGCAGUGGGGAAUAUUGCACAAUGGGCGGAAGCCUGAUGCAGCAACGCCGCGUGCGGGAUGACGGCCUUCGGGUUGUAAACCGCUUUCGCCUGUGACGAAGCGUGAGUGACGGUAAUGGGAAAAGAAGCACCGGCUAACUACGUG
rnacentral:rRNA from 1 species